rnacentral:rRNA from 1 species
AUUGAACGCUGGCGGCACGCCUAACACAUGCAAGUCGAGCGGCAGCGAGACUAGUAGCAAUACUAGUUGUCGGCGAGCGGCGGACGGGUGAGUAACACGUAGGAAUCUGCCCUUAAGCGGGGGAUAACCAAGGGAAACUUUGGCUAAUACCGCAUAAUCUCGAGAGAGCAAAGCUGCCCGCAAGGGUGGCACUUGAGGAGGAGCCUGCGUCCGAUUAGCUAGUUGGUGGGGCAAUGGCCUACCAAGGCGAUGAUCGGUAACUGGUCUGAGAGGACGACCAGUCAGACUGGGACUGAGACACGGCCCAGACUCCUACGGGAGGCAGCAGUGGGGAAUAUUGGACAAUGGGGGCAACCCUGAUCCAGCGAUGCCGCGUGAGUGAAGAAGGCCUUCGGGUCGUAAAGCUCUUUAGGUUGGGAAGAAGGGUAUUGGCUGAAUAAUCCAGUACUUUGACGGUACCGACAGAAUAAGCACCGGCAAACUCUGUGCCAGCCGCCGCGGUAAAAC